rnacentral:rRNA from 1 species
AUUGAACGCUGGCGGCAGGCCUAACACAUGCAAGUCGAACGAGUGGCGGACGGGUGAGUAAUGUCUGGGAAACUGCCUGAUGGAGGGGGAUAACUACUGGAAACGGUAGCUAAUACCGCAUACCAUCAGAUGUGCCCAGAUGGGAUUAGCUAGUUGGUGGGGUAACGGCUCACCAAGGCGAAGAUCCCUAGCUGGUCUGAGAGGAUGACCAGCCAAACGUGAAAUGAGACAAGGUCCAGACUCCUACGGGAGGCAGCAGUGGGGAAGAUGUCACAAUGGGCGAAAGCCGGAUGCAGCCAUGCCGGGGGGAUGAAGAAGGCCUUCGGGUUGUAAAGUACUUUCAGCGGGGAGGCGUUACCCGCAGAAGAAGCACCGGCUAACUCCGUGCCAGCAGCCGCGGUAAUUC